AGGCAGCACAGCCUUCUGGGGGACCCCUGCAAACAGAACCCCAGGAGUGCUGUUUGGAUUCAUUAUGUUGCCUCAAGUGUAUGUGGAGAUAAAGAGGAGCCAGCUGCUGCUGGGAGCAUUUUUCCUGACUCGAUCCAGCUGUACAAACCCCACACUUGAGUCCAGGGAAUGAGCCGUGCAGCUGGUGGUGGCAGAAGGAGAGACAAAAGAAGACCAAUGUCUGCAUUUAAGAAAUUCCAGCAGGGUUUUUGUUGGUUUUUUUUUUUUUCAAAGUGGUGUCUCUGAAUUGUUUCAGGUGGAUGCUUCCCAGAGGCUGGGAUUUGAUUUCCUGCAGGGGAAGGCAGAUGGAGUUAGUGGGGAAAACAAAUUGUGAAGCAAGGAAGAAGAGGGAUGAUGGGUCUUUUGUUUUAUGGUGGGUCCUUGUAUUGCCUUUCUGUAAAGCUGUGCAGUUAAGGGGAUGUGGAAGCAAAGAAAACUGCUUGUUUGCCUUCUGCUCUGCUCACGUGAGGAAGCUUUUCCUUGGCACUAGAAGGAGAGUGGGGUUAUUUUUUCAGACAGAAAGCUGAGCUGGAAGGAAGUUUACUUGUAUUUCAGCUUAUAGGGGAGGACAAAGAUGCUCAUCCUGUCAGAUUUGGGGAGUUUGGGACUAUUUAACACGUUUCAGAUCAUGGGUAGUCUUUUAAAUAAAAAGAAAUCAGAAAGUACCCUGAUGUGUGUCAGUACUGGCCACUGGGACUGGGCUAGUGAAGCUGAGUGAGCCCCAGUUCUCCUGCCUUCUUCCCC